rnacentral:tRNA from 1 species
ACCUACUUAACUCAGYGGUUAGAGUAUUGCUUU